CAGUAGCCACGGUAAUACGAAGGGUGCAAGCGUUACUCGGAAUUACUGGGCGUAAAGCGUGCGUAGGUGGUGGUUUAAGUCCGUUGUGAAAGCCCUGGGCUCAACCUGGGAAUUGCAGUGGAUACUGGGUCACUAGAGUGUGGUAGAGGAUAGUGGAAUUUCCGGUGUAGCAGUGAAAUGCGUAGAGAUCGGAAGGAACAUCUGUGGCGAAGGCGACUAUCUGGGCCAACACUGACACUGAGGCACGAAAGCGUGGGGAGCAAACAGGAUUAGAUACCGAGUAGUCCCUGUCUCUUAUACA
rnacentral:rRNA from 1 species